UACAGAGGGUGCAAGCGUUAUUCGGAAUUACUGGGCGUAAAGGGCUUGUAGGUGGCCAACUAAGUCAGACGUGAAAUCCCCUCGGCUUAACCGGGGGAACUGCAUCUGAUACUGGAUGGCUUGAGUUCGGGAGAGGGAUGCGGAAUUCCAGGUGUAGCGGUGAAAUGCGUAGAUAUCUGGAGGAACACCGGUGGCGAAGGCGGCAUCCUGGACCGACACUGACGCUGAGGAGCGAAAGCCAGGGGAGCAAACGGG
rnacentral:rRNA from 1 species